rnacentral:rRNA from 1 species
AUUGAACGCUGGCGGCAUGCUUUACACAUGCAAGUCGAACGGUAACAGGGAGCUUGCUCCGCUGACGAGUGGCGAACGGGUGAGUAAUGCGUCGGAACGUGCCGAGUAGUGGGGGAUAACGCAGCGAAAGUUGUGCUAAUACCGCAUACGUACUGAGAUAGAAAGUGGGGGACCUUCGGGCCUCACGCUAUUCGAGCGGCCGACGUCUGAUUAGCUAGUAGGUGAGGUAAAGGCCCACCUAGGCGACGAUCAGUAGCGGGUCUGAGAGGAUGAUCCGCCACACUGGGACUGAGACACGGCCCAGACUCCUACGGGAGGCAGCAGUGGGGAAUUUUGGACAAUGGGCGAAAGCCUGAUCCAGCCAUGCCGCGUGUCUGAAGAAGGCCUUCGGGUUGUAAAGGACUUUUGUCGGGGAGGAAAUCCCCAGCGCUAAUACCGCUGGGGGAUGACAGUACCUGAAGAAUAAGCACCGGCUAACUACGUGCCAGCCGCCGCAGUAAGAC